CCAAGGCCCCCUCUGCCUGCCCGCCGUGGGCUGGCGUCAGGGAGGAGGGGCUGCCCACGCGUGCCUCCGCUCACGGACGCGGCGGCAGCCGCUCUGAGGCCCGGCUUCCCCCUCAGAUCUGGGGCAGCGAGUGCCUCAGGGACGGGGCUCGCCCCGGCAGCCGCACAGCCCCGGGCCGGAGCAAGGGCGAGGCCUCCUGAGGCGAAGCGCUUCAGUGACACGAGGUGACAGCUACAUUGAGGGUGAAAAGCAACGCUGAGGUGUGAGACACCUUCCGCAGCAUCAUGGAUGUCUGUCAGACUGGGUGCUGCAGGUCCUCCUCUGCUCUCGGUACCCGAACGAGCCGAGUCAGCGCUAGCUCAGCACACCACCUGAGCUGCAGCACAGGCCACUAUUCCUUCUUCUAAUCUUUGCCUCCUACAAACUGAAGUAAUAACUCGAAGGAGAGAGAAGGGGAAGAAACGAGUUCAUUCUUCUGCUAUCUUCAGGGUCUCUUUAAUUAUAACUAAUAUUCUUCUUAUACCUUACUGUCCCAGUUUAACUUCAUGAACGAUUUGGCUGCACCCAGUGCUCUAAAAAGCAUUGAGUGGAUGGAUUCUGGAAACCAAAGAGCAUUUUCUAAGUAUGCUGCAUGUAAAAGGAGUAGGAGUGAUUCCUAUCACUUCCUCUUACUGCCUUUUCCAGUUUUCCUUAUCAACCAGGGGACCCAUCUUUCAGCAGGCUAAUUCACAUCCACGUAGUUGGUGGUUUCUUUGUCAACCACCUCUUUUGCUUUUCCUUCUGUGACUGCUUUUCUACAUGGACAGAAGCUGAGAAUACACAGCCUUUUACUGAGAGAAGAUCCACCAUUCAUCAUCAGAUGACAGGCACUUUUACUUCCUGAAAGAUGAAAUCUGGUCCAGCAGAGUACUAAAUAUUUGUAAGUGACCCUGUGCUGAGAGGCAUCGCACCAGCAGCAGCUAGGAGCCCUCCAGAUGUGUUUAUAUGGAAAAGCCAUGCUCCCUCGGCUUUGCAUGUGGUAUCAGCAAGAGCUGCGUGUACAAGAGUGCAUUUGAAAAUGAAGACAAAUGUAGAGUAUUCUUACUACAAUCGGUAACUUGGGUAAUUCUCACUCCUUGCAAGAUUUUUUUUGGUGGUGGUUUUGCUUGUUUGGUAUCAUUUUUGCUUAGUGAGAGAGAAAAAAAAAGCCUGGGAGUUUUGCUCUGAAUGAAAGUAGGCUUGUGCCUCUUUUAGGUUAAUAGGAAGAUAGCUAUCAGGCCAUGUAGUACUGUUACAUUUACACUUAGUGAAAUAAUUAUUUAAAGAGAACUUGCACCUCACCCAUGUGCUUGGGAGCUAAAAUGUGUUUGGGAGCUAUGCUGUUAGCUGCUGGCUGAGUCUGCACUGCUGCUAGGAGAAGACAUGGGGCUAGGGGCCUCAGUCCCCUGGGCCUUCGCAGCAGGCUGGCUGUGUCUCCUGGGCCGUCACUUCAUGUGGGCUCACCUUUGGGCCUGGGGUGGUGAGCCUUUGGCCCAAGGAGAGCACUCUUAAUUUGUGGUGUUUGUUCAGUGUAUAUGAAAUAAUGUGGCCUCUAGGCUGCAGCCCCUCUGGUGCUAGUUCCACUGAACAGAAUGCUGCGGGCCCAGGGAUACGGCACAGGGGAAUAUUUGGAGGGCUUGAAAUUCAUGGGGAAGGGGAAGGGAGAUAGAUAAUACAAUGCAGGCUUCUCCGUACUGCCUUUGGCAGUGCUUUCUGGAGGAGACCUUUUUUGGGGAUGUACUUGGAGUGGUCCAGAACAGAGCCAGAGAAUAAGCUAUCAGUGUGAACUGAUCAGGGAUUUCAGGUAUUUAGUACUGUGGAGAUUUACAUUGUGAAAGCAUUUUAUAUUCAGAACUGGUACAUUUUGGAUAAAUACUUGCUUCUUCCUUGCCUGAUAUUAGUGCCUACUAGCUUUCAGAGUUAAAAGAAUGGCAGUCACAAUAAUAAUAAUAGUGAUACAACUAGUGGAACUUUUACCUUCAAGUGCAACUGUCUGCAGGUUCAUGUCACUGAGAAGUCUGUGAAUGUGAUGAGAAGGGAAGGCUACAUGAGACUGGGAGCUGUCAGACUCCAUACGUAUGGUUGGGGCACCUGGACUGCACAGGGUAAAUGGACUGUAGGGCCCAGUCGUGUAAAGGGACCAAAAUAGCAGAUAUGAGUGACCAAAUGGUAAAGCAAAUGUUCUUUAAGACAAUAUGGAAAAUCCCAGUAUAUAAGAAAGAAAAUGAGUCUGUUCAGCAACAUAUCUGGAUAAUAUAGCAGGGUUUAGAUCCACCCAACAAUUUGGUGCAAAUAUGAAAUGAAAGUAAAAAUAUAUUGCUUUGAUUUCUCUUAAUCUUUUUCAUGAAAUUAAUAAAAUUACAAGCAAGAGUGCAUGGACAAAUAUAUUGACCAUAAGCUCUGUGCCAGAUGAUGACUGUGUUAAUGAAAGUUAGGAUCUCUCCAAACACUAUAAAACUAGAAACAGAAAUCAGUAUCCCCAAAGAUUAAUAUGGUACUUUUCCUGCAGUGCUUGAAGAGGAGUAGGGCUUGUCUGUGCUUCAAGAAAUGUUUUAAAUGAUCAACGGAAAGACAGCAGAAGAUGCAUUAGGAUUACAGUAUUAACAGUUGAAAACUGUGUUCAGCUGGACCCAUAGUACCAACUUCAACAAACAUACUUGUGACAUGAAUGAGACUCUGCUGCUCAAGUCAGCCUGGGAAACAGUGUUGAAAUCACAGCUCAUCAAUUCCAAACAUCUUCCGAGAAAAUCCACAGAGACAAAACUUUCUAAAAGAAAGGAAAGAAAGAAAAUGAGUCAAUGCAAAGCUGCAUCUCAAGUGAGUUACAUAAAAAAUGAAAAGUAAAUACUCAGAUAUGCAGAAACGAGAUGAAUUGAAACAAUCAUGAAAGCAUUAGGACAAGAUAUUGUAGUCUCAGGAAUGAAAUAAAAAUUUGAUAAUAAAAUUAAGUAGAUACAUUAUCCACAUAAACACUUUGGGAGUUUAAACUUAUCCCUUUAUAUGACAUCUGAUGGUGCUUUGGAUGGUAUUGAAUUGUGGUUCAUGUAUUCAGAGAUCUUUUUACACCAUCAAAGGCAUCCUCAUGAGCUAAAUAAGCUCUUGAUGAGUCAAAACUAACACAAAAUAGUUGCUUAACAAAUCAAGUUAGUCAUCUCGAGGGUUGCUGUAACUUGUAUUUUUUCUGUGAGUCAUUUUAAAAGACACUUUGACUUCAACAAACCUUUCUGGGGCCCCUUCUCUUCAAGGCACAAAAGCUGGCAUGGACAAUCCUUCUGUCAAGAAUCAGUGACUAAAAAUAUUUUUCUCAAAUUGAUAAGCUAAAGCCUGACACUUUGCUUUAUGCUUUUAUUUCCUGCCUCUUUAAAACUUGGUUACUCUAUGAAAUUCAUAGAAGAGAAAAAAAUAAUAGACCACGGGACCUUCACUGGUCUUCUACACAUUUCUUAUUAUACCCAGCAUUUGCCUUCAUAGAUGUCAAAUUACUUAUUUUGAUCACUACCUCUGUAAAUGCAAAAAACUGAGUAACGAAAGCUAUAUCUUAGACAGCAUCUCUUCAGUCACUGUAAUUUGUAUUGCUCAUCAUAACAUCGUGGAAUUUCUUGCAGCCUCCUUCCCACUGAGAGACAUACAUGAAGACGGUUUCACAUUUGAAGCCAGGACCAUGACAAACAGGGACUAGUGAAUCCAAUGUUGUUAUAACAUACCCAACUAGGUGAACUUUAAAUGAAAAAUUCUAUUUAAAUUACUGCCAAUUCUCCAGUCCAUUUUAAAUUAAUUUGACCUCUCUGAUUACUAGCUCAAACAAUAGUCUGAACUAUAUUUCCAUGGUAGAUUGCCACCUUCUGGUUAUAAAGGUAUCAGAUCAUAUUAAUCUUCUGUUUCAGCCCUCCCCAUCAAGCCCUGGGAUGAAGAAAGGCAGAUGAGCAUUUUGCAGAGUUCUGCUCUCAGCCUCUGUUGAGAUAAAUUAGAUGUUCCUUUUUAACCGAACUUGCUCUGAGUUUGGGUCACUUGUGAUCAGGCUGUCACAGCCACCUGCCUGACAGCAUCACCAUCCUGCUGGCACUGCCACUGGGUCUUGGCAGAGUGUGAGCAGCUUGUCCAUGUCUCCAGGGUCCAAAUUCCAGCCACAACCUGCCCCUUUCUAGGUGGAUCCAGAGUCUGUUCAGGAGAUAACGGGACGGGAAAACAGAAACAAUGACUCUGCUGGAGCUCACUGGGAGCAGUCAGGAGAGAGUAAGAGGUGGGUAAGAGCAAAUUGUGAAAAUUUUGAUUGAUUAGAGGAAGAAAGAAAAGACAACAAAGUUACCUUAAAAGCGGGUUAGUCAGCCUUGAACUACCUGCUGUCUUUGUGUCCAUUGACAAACAGUCCAUUUUCAUGGAACUGCUCGAAUCAACACCUAAGACAACAGCCACUGUAUUCCAGAAGGACCGGAUAUGUAAGAAUUACAUCAGAAUUGUAGGACUAUAAUGUGCCAACACUACCUGAAGACUUUCUUUAUUUAGCUGAGGAGCUAAAUUAACUCUUACACAACUUAUUUAAUCUUGGAACAUAAUGUCCUGAGAGAACGUUCACAA